AAACCAACAGGGAUUGCCCCAGUAACGGCGAGUGAAGCGGCAACAGCUCAAAUUUGAAAUCUGGCGCAAGCCCGAGUUGUAAUUUGUAGAGGAUGCUUCUGGGCAGCGGCCGGUCUAAGUUCCUUGGAACAGGACGUCAUAGAGGGUGAGAAUCCCGUAUGCGACCGGUUGGCACCCGUCACGUAGCUCCUUCGACGAGUCGAGUUGUUUGGGAAUGCAGCUCUAAAUGGGAGGUAAAUGCCUUCUAAAGCUAAAUACCGGCCAGAGACCGAUAGCGCACAAGUAGAGUGAUCGAAAGAUGAAAAGCACUUUGGAAAGAGAGUUAAAAAGCACGUGAAAUUGUUGAAAGGGAAGCGCAUGCAACCAGACUUGUCGGCGGUGUUCUGCCGGUCUUCUGACCGGUCUACUCGCCGCCGACAGGCCAGCAUCGUCUGAGCGCGCCGGACAAAGGCGGGGGGAAUGUGGCUCCUCGGAGUGUUAUAGCCCCUCGUGCAAUACGGCGCCGCUCGGGCGAGGUCCGCGCUUCGGCUAGGAUGCUGGCGUAAUGGUCGUCUGCGGC
rnacentral:rRNA from 1 species